rnacentral:rRNA from 1 species
CUACGGGAGGCUGCAGUGGGGAAUAUUGGACAAUGGGGGAAACCCUGAUCCAGCAAUGCCGCGUGUGUGAAGAAGGCCUGCGGGUUGUAAAGCACUUUCGGUUGGGAGGACUGCUUCUAGCACUAAUAUUGUUGGAAGUUGACGUUACCUUCAGAAGAAGCACCGGCUAACUCCGUGCCAGCAGCCGCGGUAAUACGGAGGGUGCAAACGUUAAUCGGAAUUACUGGGCGUAAAGCGCGCGUAGGCGGCUAGAUCAGUCGGGUGUGAAAGCCCCGGGCUUAACCUGGGAACUGCAUCCGAUACUGUCUAGCUUGAGUACAGGAGAGGAGAGUGGAAUUCCACAUGUAGCGGUGAUAUGCGUAGAUAUGUGGAGGAACACCAAUGGCGAAGGCAGCUCUCUGGCCUGAUACUGACGCUGAGGUGCGAAAGCGUGGGGAGCAAACAGGAUUAGAUACCCCAGUAGUC